rnacentral:misc_RNA from 1 species
UUUCCGUAGGUGAACCUGCGGAGGGAUCAUUACAGAGUUCAUGCCCUACCGGGUAGAUCUCCCACCCUAUGUUAUUAUUACUUUGUUGCUUUGGCGGGCCGUUAGGCUCCGGCCCGACUACCGGCCCCGGCUGGUAAGCGCCCGCCAGAGGACCCAAAACCCGGAAUAUUAGUGUCGUCUGAGUACUAUAUAAUAGUUAAAACUUUCAACAACGGAUCUCUUGGUUCUG